GUUGAAACGCCGGUUCUCAUAUGAUCACCGAAGUUAAGCAACGUCGAGCCUGGUCAGUACGUAAAUGGAUGGCUGUUGAGGAAUACUAUGUGCUGUAA